UACGGGGGGGGCAAGCGUUGUUCGGAAUUACUGGGCGUAAAGGGCUCGUAGGCGGCCAACUAAGUCAGACGUGAAAUCCCUCGGCUUAACCGGGGAACUGCAUCUGAUACUGGAUGGCUUGAGUUCGGGAGAGGGAUGCGGAAUUCCAGGUGUAGCGGUGAAAUGUGUAGAGAUCGGGAGGAACACCGGUGGCGAAGGCGGGUCUCUGGGCAGUUCCUGACGCUGAGGCGCGAAAGCGUGGGGAGCAAACGGG
rnacentral:rRNA from 1 species